ensembl:misc_RNA
CUUAUAUAACCUACACAUUAUGGGAGAGUCCCAUCAAAGAAGAUAGGUCAUUCUUCAAUAUCUGCUCUUUCCUUAUGGUCAAAAC